CUACAGUGCCGCUUUCCCUCAGGGCCUUAAUAGAAGACCCGUAGUCUAAUUUUUGGAACGCCGUUGAAGAAACGGUGUA
rfam:Syphacia muris strain Valencia genome assembly, scaffold: SMTV_scaffold0001067